UAACGCGUGGGUAACCAACCUUAAACUGGGGGACAACACCGGGAAACCGGUGCUAAUACCGCAUAUAUGCAGACUUGGCAUCUUGACUGCAGGAAAGGCUUCGGCCGGUUUAAGACGGACCCGCGUCCAAUUAGCUAGUUGGUGGUGUAACGGACCACCAAGGCGACGAUUGGUAGCCGGGCUGAGAGGCUGAACGGCCACAUUGGGACUGAGACACGGCCCAGACUCC
rnacentral:rRNA from 1 species